rnacentral:rRNA from 1 species
ACGGAAGGCAGCAGUGGGGAAUAUUGCACAAUGGGCGGAAGCCUGAUGCAGCGAUGCCGCGUGGAGGAAGAAGGUUUUCGGAUUGUAAACUCCUUUUAUCAGGGACGAUAAUGACGGUACCUGAAGAAAAAGCUCCGGCUAACUACGUGCCAGCAGCCGCGGUAAUACGUAGGGAGCGAGCGUUGUCCGGAAUUACUGGGUGUAAAGGGUGCGUAGGCGGGGAUGCAAGUCAGAUGUGAAAUGUAUGGGCUCAACCCAUGAACUGCAUUUGAAACUGUAUCUCUUGAGUGCUGGAGAGGUAGAUGGAAUUCCUUGUGUAGCGGUGAAAUGCGUAGAUAUAAGGAAGAACACCAGUGGCGAAGGCGAUCUACUGGACAGUAACUGACGCUGAGGCGCGAAAGCGUGGGGAGCAAACAGGAUUAGAUACCCUGGUA